UACGUAGGGUGCAAGCGUUAAUCGGAAUUACUGGGCGUAAAGCGUGCGCAGGCGGUGAUGUAAGACAGAUGUGAAAUCCCCGGGCUCAACCUGGGAACUGCAUUUGUGACUGCAUCGCUGGAGUGUGGCAGAGGAGACUGGAAUUCCUGGUGUAGCAGUGAAAUGCGUAGAUAUCAGGAGGAAUACCGAUGGCGAAGGCAGGUCUCUGGGCUGACACUGACGCUCAUGCACGAAAGCGUGGGGAGCAAACAGG
rnacentral:rRNA from 1 species